AAAUUGAAGAGUUUGAUCAUGGCUCAGAUUGAACGCUGGCGGCAGGCCUAACACAUGCAAGUCGAACGGUAACAGGAAGCAGCUUGCUGCUUUGCUGACGAGUGGCGGACGGGUGAGUAAUGUCUGGGAAACUGCCCGAUGGAGGGGGAUAACUACUGGAAACGGUAGCUAAUACCGCAUAACGUCGCAAGACCAAAGAGGGGGACCUUCGGGCCUCUUGCCAUCGGAUGUGCCCAGAUGGGAUUAGCUAGUAGGUGGGGUAAUGGCUCACCUAGGCGACGAUCCCUAGCUGGUCUGAGAGGAUGACCAGCCACACUGGAACUGAGACACGGUCCAGACUCCUACGGGAGGCAGCAGUGGGGAAUAUUGCACAAUGGGCGCAAGCCUGAUGCAGCCAUGCCGCGUGUAUGAAGAAGGCCUUCGGGUUGUAAAGUACUUUCAGCGGGGAGGAAGGGAGUAAAGUUAAUACCUUUGCUCAUUGACGUUACCCGCAGAAGAAGCACCGGCUAACUCCGUGCCAGCAGCCGCGGUAAUACGGAGGGUGCAAGCGUUAAUCGGAAUUACUGGGCGUAAAGCGCACGCAGGCGGUUUGUUAAGUCAGAUGUGAAAUCCCCGGGCUCAACCUGGGAAC
rnacentral:rRNA from 1 species